CUUUGAGGCCAAGCAUUCCGACUGCAGCUUGAUAAUCAUGCUAAGCAGAAUUAGGUCUGGUUAACACUUGGAUGGGAGACCACCUGGUAAUAUCCAGGAGAUUUAAGGC
rnacentral:rRNA from 1 species